GAUGAAUGCUGGCAGCGUGCCUAAUACAUGCAAGUCGAGCGGAUGGAUUAAGAGCUUGCUCUUAUGAAGUUAGCGGCGGACGGGUGAGUAACACGUGGGUAACCUGCCCAUAAGACUGGGAUAACUCCGGGAAACCGGGGCUAAUACCGGAUAACAUUUUGAACCGCAUGGUUCGAAAUUGAAAGGCGGCUUCGGCUGUCACUUAUGGAUGGACCCGCGUCGCACUAGCUAGUUGGUGAGGUAACGGCUCACCAAGGCAACGAUGCGUAGCCGACCUGAGAGGGUGAUCGGGCACACUGGGACUGAGACACGGCCCAGACUCCUACGGGAGGCAGCAGUAGGGAAUCUUCCGCAAUGGACGAAAGUCUGACGGAGCAACGCCGCGUGAGUGAUGAAGGCUUUCGGGUCGUAAAACUCUGUUGUUAGGGAAGAACAAGUGCUAGUUGAAUAAGCUGGCACCUUGACGGUACCUAACCAGAAAGCCACGGCUAACUACGUGCCAGCAGCCGCAGUAA
rnacentral:rRNA from 1 species